GACGGAGGGUGCAAGCGUUGUUCGGAAUUACUGGGCGUAAAGGGCGCGUAGGCGGUCUGUUAAGUUCGGUGUGAAAGCCCCCGGCUCACCUGGGGAACUGCGCCGGAAACCGACAGACUCGAGUACCGGAGAGGAGGGUGGAAUUCCUGGUGUAGCGGUGAAAUGCGUAGAUAUCAGGAGGAACACCGGUGGCGAAGGCGGGUCUCUGGGCCGAUACUGACGCUGAGGAGCGAAAGCGUGGGGAGCGAACAGG
rnacentral:rRNA from 1 species